UGUCGUGUUGUGGGGGAUAGCCCGGAGAACGCCAGAUUAAUACCGCACACUAUCUACAGAUGAGGGCGGGAGAUCUUCAGAUCUCGCUCUAUGGGGGCGGCAGAUGGCAGAUUAUCUAUUUGGUGGGGUAAGGGCCUACCAGGGAGACUAUCCAUAUCUGGUCUGAGAGGACGACCACCCACUCUGAGAGUGACACACGGCCCACACUCCUACGGGAGGCAGCUGUGGGGAUUUUUGGACAAUGGGCGAACGCCUGAUCCAGCUGUGCCGCGUGUGUGAAAAACGCCUUCGUUUUGUAAAGCAUUUUUGUCCAGAAAGAAAUCCUUGGUCCUAAUAUGGCCGGGGGAUGACUGUACCAGAAGAAUAAACACCGGCUAUCUACGUGCCAGCACCCGCGGUAAUACAUAGGGUGCAAGCUUUAAUCAAAUUUACUGGGCGUAAAGCGUGCGCGCGCGGUGAUGUAACACAGAUGUGAAAUCCCCGGGCUCACCCUGAGAACUGCUUUGGUGACUGCAUCUCUAGAGUAUGGCAGAGGGGGGUAGAUUUCCAUGUGUAGCUGUGAUGUGCAUAGAGAUGUGGAGGAAUACCGAUGGCGAGCGCAGCCCCCUGGCUCAAUACUGACUCUCGUGCACGAAAGCGUGGGGAGCAAACAAGAUU
rnacentral:rRNA from 1 species